rnacentral:rRNA from 1 species
GUGGGGAAUAUUGGGCAAUGGGCGCAAGCCUGACCCAGCAACGCCGCGUGAAGGAAGAAGGCUUUCGGGUUGUAAACUUCUUUUACCAGGGACGAAACAAAUGACGGUACCUGGUGAAUAAGCCACGGCUAACUACGUGCCAGCAGCCGCGGUAAUACGUAGGUGGCGAGCGUUAUCCGGAUUUAUUGGGUGUAAAGGGCGUGUAGGCGGGACAGCAAGUCAGAUGUGAAAACCAGAGGCUCAACCUCUGGCCUGCAUUUGAAACUGUUGUUCUUGAGUGUCGGAGAGGUAAUCGGAAUUCCGUGUGUAGCGGUGAAAUGCGUAGAUAUACGGAGGAACACCAGUGGCGAAGGCGGAUUACUGGACGAUAACUGACGCUGAGGCGCGAAAGCGUGGGGAGCAAACAGGAUUUGAAACCCUGGUAGUCC